UACGGGAGGGGCAAGCGUUAUCCAGCAUGACUAGGCGUAAAGUGUUCGUAGAUUGUAAAAUAAGUUAUUAGUUAAAAAUUAAAGCUCAACUUUAAAAAGCUUUUAAUACUGUUUUACUUGAGUUCUAUACGGAAGAGUAGAAUUUUACAUGGAAGGGUAAAAUCUACAGAUAUGUAAAGGAAUACCAAUAGCGAAGGCAACUCUUUAGUAAGAACUGACAUUGAGGAACGAAAGUAUGGGGAGCAAACAGG
rnacentral:rRNA from 1 species